AGCGAACGCUGGCGGCAGGCUUAACACAUGCAAGUCGAACGGGCGUAGCAAUACGUCAGUGGCAGACGGGUGAGUAACACGUGGGAACGUACCCUUUGGUUCGGAACAACACAGGGAAACUUGUGCUAAUACCGGAUAAGCCCUUACGGGGAAAGACUUAUCGCCGAAGGAUCGGCCCGCGUCUGAUUAGCUUGUUGGUGAGGUAAUGGCUCACCAAGGCGACGAUCAGUAGCUGGUCUGAGAGGAUGAUCAGCCACACUGGGACUGAGACACGGCCCAGACUCCUACGGGAGGGCAGCAGUGGGGGAA
rnacentral:rRNA from 1 species